rnacentral:rRNA from 1 species
AUGGACGAUGAUGCCAGAGACUAUCAAGAACCAGUGCCUACAGGACACUGGAAGACCACCUCGUCAUACGACAUACAUAUGGUGGACACCCCAAAGGGAAGCGAUACCGAGGAACAACGGGACGCGGCAGAGGAUAAUCCCGCCGAUAAACAAUCAAAACGGCGACGUAGACGCCGCCCUAAGUCCCGCCUCGAUCAAAGCAGCAUUCCUAACGACCCAACAAUAGAGCAGGGCAAACCAGCGGAUGACGAACAGGACGAGCCGGGUAAUCAACCCCUUCACGGAGCAGUCAACAGUCCGGACGCAACACCGGAGCAUAAGAACCUACACAAAAGACUCGUCGCCACUGCAAGAAGUUUGAAGAAGGAAAAACGGAAGCUCAAAACAGCGGAAGACAUACUCAGAAUGAAGUGGAGCAAAGUACUCAAGACCGCAGACAAAUAUGGCAAUGGCCAUCAAACAAAGAGCUACUCGAAGCGCAAGUUGCUGCCAGAAUUUGACGAGGAAGCCAUAGAGCCCUCACAGUCAAAAAAUAAAGAGGCCGCCUGGCCGGAUAGACGGCCAGAUGACAGGCCAAAAGCGACAAGCGGCGCCGCACACAAGCCGACUUAUGAUCCUGGGAAAACGGACGGCCCAACUAGGUCCAUCUACAGGCCAAAAAAGAGGGCCCCAGGAAAUAACACAACACGACAAGUGUUCGAAGACAGCGGCAUACCCAAAUACAGGGGCGCCGCACACCCGCUAUGUUUUACCGAUGAGGUGCUGGACCAUGAAUUUCCAGCAGGGUUCAAACCCAUAAACAUAGAGGCAUACGAUGGCACAACAGACCCAGGAGUCUGGAUAGAAGAUUACAUACUACACAUACACAUGGCUAGAGGAGAUGAUCUCCACGCCAUAAAAUACCUACCCCUCAAGCUCAAAGGGCCAGCUCGGCAUUGGCUCAAAAGCCUCCCAGAAAACACUGUUGGAAGCUGGGAAGAGCUUGAGGACGCGUUUAGAGCAAAUUUUCAAGGGACUUAUGUACGCCCUCCGGAUGCAGACAAUUUGAGUCAUAUAACUCAACAGCCCGGAGAGUCAGCGCGCAAAUUCUGGAACAGGUUCCUUACCAAAAAGAACCAAAUAGUCGACUGUCCGGACGCGGAAGCCUUAGCAGCUUUUAAACACAACGUCCGGGACGAAUGGCUCGCCAGACACCUCGGCCAAGAGAAGCCAAGAACAAUGGCCGCGCUAACAAGCCUCAUGACGCGCUUUUGCGCAGGAGAAGACAGCUGGCUAGCAAGAUGCAGUACCAGCGACCCGAGUACAUCCGAGAUCAGAGAUGGAAACGGAAAAUCACGGCGCAGGAAAGAUCAGCGCCGGAAUAAAGAAAAAAGACCAAAGGGCACGGCGGUCAACGCCGGAUUCAAAAGCUCACAGCCAAACAAUAAAACACGGCCUCUUAAGGACAACAGCGACGAGCUAUCAAAUUUAAACAAAAUUCUAGAUCGGAUAUGUCAAAUCCACAGUACCUCCGAAAGGCCUGCAAACCAUACCAACCAAAAUUGUUGGGUUUUUAAAUAG